AGCAGCCGCGGUAAUUCCAGCUCCAAUAGCGUAUAUUAAAGUUGUUGCAGUUAAAAAGCUCGUAGUUGAAUUUCGGGGUUAGUAGGUUGGUCAUGCCUCUGGUAUGUACUGGUCUCACUGAUUUCUCCUUCCUUAUGAACCGUAAUGCCAUUAAUUUGGUGUUGCGGGAAAUUUGGACUGUUACUUUGAAAAAUUAGAGUGUUUAAAGCAAGCUAACGCUUGAAUACAUUAGCAUGGAAUAAUGAAAUAGGACGUUCGAUCUUAUUUUGUUGGUUUCUAGGAUUGACGUAAUGAUUAAUAGGGAUAGUUGGGGGCAUUAGUAUUCAAUUGUCAGAGGUGAAAUUCUUGGAUUUAUUGAAGACUAACUACUGCGAAAGCAUUUGCCAAGGAUGUUUUCAUUAA
rnacentral:rRNA from 1 species